GCCAGGGGGAAAGCAAUCUUCCACACUCGUUUGGUCUUGUAAGUGUUUUUAUUAUUUUAUUUUACAUGUGUUUAAAAUGUAUUUACUUUAUUUGUUGUUGGAAUCGCGACAUUCUUGCGGGUAACUUAACGUUAGAGUAAGUAACCCAUGUUUUAUAAAACCUAAACAGUACAACCUGCAAUGUAAUAAAAUAGUGGAGGUAAAUGAGUCUAUGUAACGUUACACUGAAGAUUAACAUGAGUAAUUUGUAGGCUGCUUUUUAGUAACAGCAGUAACUUAGCUAAGUUAUUACUGUGUUGCUUACAGUAAUGUAGGCAGUUGUGCUUUACAAUUAUGCAUACAGAGAUAGAUUGUGGGGGAAAGCUAUUUUUCCAUAUGGAUUUAACUUACAGCCCUUCAGUUUGUUGGAAAAAGAGUUUUAUUGUGUUAGUGAGGGAAAACUUGUAGGUCAGUGGGCAUUAACCUUUAAGGUUGGUAAACACUUGUACACUGAAGCAUACAAUACUGUACAAUACUAUACAAGUACUGACAUAGGCAUGUGCUAUUCAGGUGUCAAAGCUGUGCGAACUGGAGGGAGAAACUUGAGAGACCGUGUCGGAAGAAUGCUGGACAGAGUUCACUAAAAUUCAUUAAUUUCAAAGUUCAACAUGAAUGGUGGUGGUCCACUGCAGAAGCAAGCAUUUGAAAAAACAUCAGUUCUCAGUUAUUAAAGAUGCUGUGUUGAACAACUUUCCAGCACCAACAGAACUGGAAAUGAAGGAUGCAAUGGGGGGCAUUUCAAACAGGCACCAGGGAGGACGUGGUGUAUAGAAAUUAGUCCAAUUAAUAAGUUGAAGUGUUAUUUAUUUAUUUUGUUACUGUUUUUAUUCUUUUUGUUAAAAGUAGUUUUUCUUCAUUUUGUCUUAUCUGAAUUUCUAUUGUAUUAACAAUAUUUUUGUAAUAAAUUGCAUGAUUACAUGUUUAUGAGAAUCUUUUUUUAAUGGAUUAAAAAGAAUUCUUUAGCCAUUCUUUUGUUGUUUAUUAGACACACACGUGUAGUCAUUUAAUAGCCGUCUAUUUAACGGCUAGUCUAUUCUUGGGCUAUGAUAGACGUCUACUAGAUUUUCACUGACAGCCCAAAAUUAGCCUUUUAUUAGCCUAUACCCACAUUCACCGUCUAUUAGACGUAUAUAUGUAGACGUUUAGUAGCCGUCUAUUUGAUGACUAGUCUAUUCUUGGGCUAUGAUAGACGUCUACUAGAUUUUCACUGACAGCCCAAAAUUAGCCUUGUUUUAGCCUAGACGUCAGGGGGGUGUUUAGACGGCUACUAGACGUCUAUUAGCCGCAAAAUUGCUUGCUGGGUUGUGU